CUUUUAUUAUGGUUCUGCUGAGAGGAUCUGAAGUUUGACAUUUGUAUGCUGCGCUCACAGCUCCCUUUCUCCUAUGCUAGUUAUUUUUAUCAUUAUUUUGGUUCUUAGGACAAAAUUGCACUCCGCUCAUCUGGAAAGCUCUUCCGCCUCUAAAUCCUGCGUGUUCGCCUUAUGCUCAGCCCUGUGGCAAAUACAAGAGCUCUCUUGAUUUAAUUUUCAAACACAAAGGUCCAUUAAAUCAAAGUGUUGCUUUCCAGAUCCCAUGGCUCUCAGCUGCCCAUCCAAGCCUCCAUCUCUCCCUCUGGGUGUUUCAGCUCUGCCUGAUGUCUCCUGAGCCCAGGGCUGGCUAGUCACAACAGGACUUCGAGCCCACAUUUUGGGGUGUUUUUGGAGGUUUCACCUUCUCUUGCCUGUGGGAACUCCAUUAUGUCCUUCCACGUCAUCUCAGAGCUGCAGCCAAGAGCAUCACUUGCUGGCCACCCUGUGGGAGCUGCUUGGGGGCCCAGAGCACCUGGGGAGGGACGGAGCUGGGCUUUGAGAGCAAAAGGAUCUGGUGUUCCCAUGGACAGCACGCUGGGAUGCAGGGUUGCUCCUGCCCUUCUCAUGGCAAGGUGAGGUUGGGGAUGCAUGGAUUGGUGAGCAGGUGGAUGGGAAGGUACAGAUGCCAGGAUCUGCCCAGGGUGCAGCUCAGUUUGGGGAAGGGUUGAAAGGUUCAGCAUGGGGACAAAUCUUGUGUUUCCAGCUCUGAGGACUCCCAUGCCAGCAGCACCCAGGUGCUGUGUGUGAGGAGAAGGGAGACCCAUGAGUACCCCCUUCCUCGUGGGUGUGUAGGGUGGAUGGCAUGGGAGGAAGGGGCUGGGGCCAUCCCAGGGCUGCCGCCACUGCAGCCUAACGCCUGGCCUGAAUUUGAGCACAAGGGGCUGCUCUGGCUGAAAUGUCACAGCUCUGACCAUGUCCGUGUUUCUGAGAUGAAACAUCUACUGUUUCUAAGCAAUGGUGAUUGAAAAGGCUGCAAACAACAACUGUUGGCAUUGGAGCCAUGGAGAUGGAGGGGACUGAGCAUCCUAAGCUUUCCAUAGCAGAGGGGAGCAGCAAGGUGCAGCUCCUGAUGGCUCCCAUGGUGGAGACAUCUGCUACGGAAAAUCACCUCCUUGGGACCCCUCCAGCCAUGCUCCACUGCUGCUGUCUCCCACCCUGUCCCCUUGGGUGCAGGCACCACAGCGUCAGCAAAGCCCAGUCCCUCCGUGGGAGCAUCCCUCCCUGGGAAGGACCUGGCCUGCUUCAGUCCCUCCACUGCAGGGGAGCACUGCUGGUCCCUGGGCAGCUCCACGGAAGGACGCUGCUCCUCCCUUAGUGGCAUGGAACAAGCUGUGGAUUAGCUCUCCCUGCGGAGCGUUUCAGGUUGCUGGUUUUCUGUACCAGCCUGUGGCUGCACAGUGUGUAAUUCAUGAUCAAUUUACUUGAAGUUAAAAUACAAAGGAAGGGAGGAAAAGGGGAAAAAAAAAAGGGCUUUCAGCUUAGCAGCUGGUACUGCCUCAAUAGCUGCCACUGUGGGCGAUCAAACUACACUUCACAAUCCAAUAUCUGACGUUAUUUCUUAGCCUCACUUGGUUCAGUUUCACCUCCAUCCUGGACAAAUAUUGACAAAGCUCUCAUAAUCCCGCUGGUGCCGUUGCAGAGAACUCUAUUUUGCUUGCAGCACACUUGGAGCCAUCUCAGUAUCCCCACUGGGAGCCGAGAGAGGAGCAUGAAUUUAGAUUCAAAGGGGAUGAGUGGCAGCUUACAGACCCCCUGCAGCCCAGGUGUCCUCCACGAGCAAAGCUGGCUCCAGGCUGUGAUGUUCUGAGCUUGAGCCCGAGGCUUAGGGUAAGACAAGAAGGUCUCCACUUGUUGCUGCUUAUGCACAAGAUAGCUCUGGGUGCAUGCAUGGUGCUCGUGCUGAGCUGGUGUCUUGUUCAUCACCAGUCGGUGUUCAGACUGUGUCGGCUGUCCCUUGGGUACCCGGGGUACCAUGAUUGACUGUGUCCUUCUGGGGUGUUGGUCUGUGCCCCAAUGAGUAGAGCUGGGCCAGAACUUGGGUCAUGGAGGAAAAAUCCCAGCACUCGGAUGGGAAAACCCAGCUCUGCUGCAGGGAACACUGCACCCCUGAGCGCCUCAGCAAAGCUCCAAGCAAUCAUGAAAACACAGAAUGGUUGGGUUAGGAGGGGCUUCAAAAAUCAUCCAGUUCCAGCCCCUUGCCUUGGCAGGAAUGCAAAGGGUCCUUCUCACCCAGGGUGGUCACCAUCGUGUCACCCACUGCCACCCCGUGUCCCACUGCAGGUCUGCAGCAGGAUGGGGGCAUUGUCCCCAGUGCUUCUGCCAUCAACCUCUUGCACCUUGCCCUCACCCACCUCCAUUCGAAACGGGGGUUCUCAUGCAAUGAGGCAGCUGGGUUUCACAUUGACCACAUCGGUAGCACUGUCACCAUCCAGGGAUCAGCGCUGGGGCGCAGAGAUGGAUGUGCUGAGCUGGGGAUGAUGGAUGGGAGCGUGGAUGGCAGCGGGGCAGCAGUGGAAGGGAAAACUGAUCAGAUCGACUGCUUAAUGGCUUCAUAACGUCAGGGUCUUGUUGGCAGCGCCUGGCAGCUCAUUUUUAAUGACAGCAUUCCUGAGCUCAACCCCAGAGUGCAGCUGCCUGGGAAGCCUGAAACUCAGAGAGCAGCUCUGAGGCUGGAAGCGAGCUGAUGUGAGUCAAACAGUGCUCCUUUUUGUGGCAUCACAUGGACUUGGCCCCACGGAGAGAGCCUCUUGAUCCACCUCUGUCCUGCCCCGAUGGGGCACAGUGUUAUUUAGCACAGAAUGGUUGGGAUGAGAGGGACCUUCAUGAUCAUCCAACCCUACCCGUGGGCAGGGGUGCCUCCCCCAGCUCAGGCUGCCCAGGGCCCCUCCAUGGCCUCGGGCACCUCCAGGAAUGGGGCACCCACAGCUCUGGGCAGCAGUGCCAGCGCCGUGCUGCCCUCAGAGCGAAAAGUAUCUUCUAUAUAUCCAAACCUUCCCUUCUCCAGGCUGAACACCCCCUGCUCCCUCAGCCUGUCUCCAUAGGAGAAGUGCUCCAGCCCUGAGAGCAUCCCUGUGUCCCCCUCCGGCCCCGCUCUGACAGCCCCAAACCUUUCAGCAGUUCAGGUGGGCUCUCAGUUGUUCUUUCUAAGGCCAGCAGCCGCUGAGACCGCACAGCGUUGGCUGCAGGGAAGUCUUCAGCAUGGCGGUGUGCAGCAAUCCAUACUAAUUAAGACAAAUCUAAUUACCCAGGCUGCAACUCAUGCUUAACGAAUUAGAACCAGAACAUGGCAAACACAGAGAGGAAGGCGUGCUGCCAAGGUGGAGUGGUGCGCCCAGAAGCCUGCUUGGAGGAGAAGGGUUCUGGGGAAGGCAGGGCUCAAUGGCACUGUUCUGCUGGGCGUCAGCAUCAGAGGAACCUCUGAUUGUGUGACGGAGUUGUAACAGUACAGAUCUGCACAGUAAGGAGAGCUGGUGCCAAACUGUGCUCCCGGGGGAGGGAAUGUCCCUUCCCCCUUACGUUCUUAAUAUAUCCAUUACGAUUAAUAUUGUGACCGAGGAAAUACUCUUAUUACAAAUAGAUGGUGAUGGCAGAGCUGCAGAAUUAAGUGGUGCUGGGCGCCACUUAUCUGAUUAGCGGGUGCUUUCAGCAGGGCCAUUAUCCUGAUGUGUUACACCUCCCAUCACACCGACAUCAGGCUGGCUGUGUGUGAGGGGAUGAGCGAGAAGUGUUGGGCACAACCCUUGUUCCGCUGGGAAGUCCGUCUCCCAUUGCCUGGAGGACCAGGGGGCUCAAUUAGAGCCUCCCAGCAGUAAUUGAGUUGAGGACGGGGUGGGGUGAGGAGCCCACAUGCGGCCGCUAUGAGACCUCACUGAGACUGAUGGGCACGUCCUGCUCAAGCACCACCAGGCAACACUUUGGCCAUGGCCACGCUGGGCUGUGUUGUGUGACAGAGGCACCGCUGUCCCUCUUUCACCCCUCACUGCUGCCCCUCCUCUCUCACCCCCUCCGCUGCUCCUCGUGGUGCUGCCGCCGCCGGAGGGCUCCUCGCAGCAGCUCCCAAUUAAGACCUACUUAAAAUUCAAAUGCAAAUAAAUUUUUAAUUACCUUAAUUAGAAUUAUUCUCUUGUUAGAGCUGAAGGAUGGGGUCCGAAGAGCAGAAAGGGCGGGAUGUGCCUGGCCACGUUGGAGGGGACCGGGGCGGCGCCUGCAGGUUUGGAGCUGGAGCUCAGCAGCCUUUGCACCUCGGUGGGCAAAAUCCACCUAUGUGGUAGGUGCAGAUAUUGCAGCUCCAGGUAUGGCCAAGGCUGGAGGCAAGGAAUUGCUUCCAGCAGCCCCUGGAAUAUCACUGCUGUGCCCUCUGUGUAUCUGCUCUCUUCCCCCGGUUGCUGCCUUUGGAAGCUUCCAAUAGAUUUCUCUAAAUUAAAAAUAAUUUACCCUUUAAAACCAGCAGGUGAGGGAAGAACCCGCCGUGUGCAGCGCUGCAGCUUAUUGCCCCGUGUGUUUGUGCUGCUGGCAGCACGCUUGUCAGCUGUGCACACGGAAUGACUUAUGCCAUCACUGCCACUGGUAGCAAUCCAGCCUGGAAUAAUGAAACAGCCAUGGCGCCCAUGAUUUAUUAAUUAGUGCCAAAGGAUUUAUGCAGGUAAGGGCAUUAUGUGAGUGGUUGGCAUGUUUUUAACCACAUUUCCUGCACUGAGAAAAAGAAUGGGCCGAUGUGCCUGGCCCAUGGGGUGCAUUCCUAUGGCUGUGGCCAGCACAGACACUGCGGCCCUUGCAGAGGUCCCCAGUGAGAGGCACCCUGGGGUCCCCAUUCACCAUGCUGAGCUCUGGGAACACUGCCCCACUGCUCUGUGCUGUAAUGCGUGGAAUCCCAGUGACUCCCCAUUUGCAGGAAGCCGAGAUGAGCUCCAGAUGAGGGCAGUGCCAUUUGCUGCAGAUGAGCGGUGCUUUGGUGGGAAUUCAAUUACACGAUUUUUCCUUGCUGCACAUCAUGCAUUCUGACGACGCAGUGGUUUCGGCACUAAUGAGAUGCGUCUUAACUGCUGUGAAGCUGUAUUUCUCCCUGCUCUUAGUACCUGGGAUCCGUAUUAAUUACAGUUUCAGUAGAGAAAAAGCCCACAGAGUCACUGCCCACACUUUACUCCCGGUAACAGCCGCCUCCUCGCAUUGCUGGGAGCGCUGCGGAUCCACUGCAGAGCUGUGGUUGGUGCCUCACAACCCCAUGGUGGUGGGAUGGAACAGUGGGGCGAGGGGUGCUCCCAGCAUGGGCGGAUGCAGCCGCACACAGUGGGAGAUGCUCAGCAUCAAAGAGACAUAGAGCUUGUUUUUAGAGGCUUCUAUUGGAAGCAGGGGUUUGGUGCUGGGUAAGCUGGUGGGUGUCCCAUCCCCGUGAUGGGCGCUGGGAUGAGCAGUGUCUCAUUUGAUGCCCUCCUGCAGAGGCUCUGUGCUGGAGACACAGUGCUGAUGGUGGAUGCUUUUAUUCCCGUUAGCAAGGCUUGAUGGAGGAUGUGAGGACAUUGGAGCCAUGUGGAGCUGUUUGGCCUCUCAGCCCAGUGUUAUGGGUCCCAUCUGACUGCCCAGGGCUCACCUCAAUGCCCACUCGCUGUUACGUGCUGCUCUCUUGCCCCCCAAGAACAAUUGCUGCCCAAACGCUGCUCCCCCCUUCUCUCUGCCACCAAAAGCCCUCUCUGGUCAUCCCAUGGCAGAGGUAGCAGUGUGCCCUCCUGUCCAUCCUGGGGAGAGUGAAGUGCUGAGCCCACUGAAGGUCCCCAAGGUGCAGCACCAGCAUCUCAUUGCAGCUAAAGCACCGUCUCAAGCCCUGAUGCCUUUCUGUUGCAGCAGUUCCCUUUGCUGGGCUCAGCUGUGCUCACCAUCUCUGUGUCCCUACCCCAACACCACCACCACCACCAUGCAUGUGCUGUGGGGCUGCCGCAGGGCUCAUUCAGCUGGAGACACCCACCUGCAUGAGGCACUCCUGAUGGCAUUGGUCCUUAUGGGGAUAUCUGUCCUGUACAAGCAAGACGGGAGCGGGGGAAGGGGAAGUCACACCUACUGAAGGGGUUUUACAGCUCACAGAUGUAAACAGAAGGAGGGAGAACUCACUUCAGUUAUAAAAAUGUGGAAAUACCCAGAAGUAGUAAAGGAAAAGCAGCAAAACGUGAAGUUGGAGUAAUGUGAGGGUAGAGACUUCACUGUUUCUUUUCCAGGCUGGAUGUGGCUCUGGGCAGCCUGGUCUGCUGGUUGGUGACCCUGCCUGUGGAAGGGGGUUGAAACGAGAUGAUCACUGUGGUCCUUUUCAACCCAGGCCAUUCUGUGAUUCUUUUAAAACAAAGAGCUUUCUGGCUGGUUCAGGUAGUUCAAUUUUUCCUUAAAUCUCUGGCUUGGUGUACACUGAGGAUGCUUUAAUGGCAGCCAGUAGCAAGCACUGGGCCAGUAAUUAGGGGGAAGGCAAUGAAAGUAUUUGGGGGUAGGUGCAGGGUGGUAUCUCACCUGAGGACACUUUGCUUUUAGUGACUGCAGUGAAAUGGAUUUGAAUAUCCCUGAGGUCAACUCCAUCCCUGCGUACUAAGCCAUCCCACCUUUCCACCCUUUUCUCCCCCAAAAUGCUUCAGGGUCUUUGUUGAAAAGAAAUAGCUGUCAUCUGUUCAGCCUUCAUGAACAUUUCCACAUCCUCUGUAAUAACCAUCUCUUCUGGGAAGAGAGAGGACCUUGCAAAUGCCAUAUGCCCAGAGUUGUUCUCAUUGCAGCUCCCCAAAAGGACUGAAAAUCUCCUAAGCAACCUGGCUUACCCUGGGUACCAACCUGGCUUCGUUCACCAAUAGAGAAUGAAUUAUUUGCAUCCAUUUCCAAGAAGCAGCUGUGCUUUUGGUAUGUCUGUGAGUUGAAUGGGUCCAAACCAUGACAAGUUUUGUGGUUGGCCGUGCUGGUCAUAGAACUGUCUCCUCUUCUGUUGCUUGAAAGCAGAUGGCAAUUCAUUUAGCAGUAAUGUUGGAAUAAUGCAUGUUUCUGUGCCUCUGCAUAUGGAUGGCCAAUAGGGAGCAGUCCAUCUUCAUGUAAUUUUAGAUAUCUUAGAGGAUCUGAAUGCAAAACCCUAAGCCUGGGGAUUUGGUGUAGAUUUGUGACCCUCUUUGGAAGAGCUGGGAUCAUAAAGUAGGGCCUGGAAUUCAGGGGGACAUAAAUAUCAUAUUUUCAUCUGUGGCAGCAAUAAACUUGCUUGAAUAUUGUUUGUAUUAUUUAGAGGGAAUACGGACCCAUUUGGCUUAUUUCAUCAGUCUGAAAGUUGCCGGAAAGGAUGGAGGAAGGAGCUCUGAUAACGGAAUAAACUGUACAGAAGAUGUGAAAAGGCAGCUGCACUCCCUCUGGAAGCAAAAACAUUUGUUUCAGGCCUUUCUAGCAGGUUAUGUAUGGAGAAGUGGGCACUCCUGCACUCUUCGGAGCAUGGCUGGUGGAAAGAGCCAUCCUUUUGCCUCCAUCAGAAAGCAAUUAUGGACAUCUAGCACAGCCAUAUGGCACCAUGACCGUCCAGUUCUGGGGCUGCCUUGUAAGUGAACAUCCCAUUCUCCACAAUCCAAAGCUACCACGUUGAUGUUAGGCACUAGGAAGGCCUAAGACAGGUGCAGUACUGACACCAUCCUCCUCUUCAAGGUCAGCCAUCCAUUUGGGGUUUUUAGGGAGUCAAAUCGCACUCAUGAAUAAUUCAUUCUACAAACUUUUCAACCUUCACCAAAAUGAUUUGUGAAUAAAUGUUUUCAUUACUUGGCUGGCUCUGUGGAUGGAUGAAUAAUAUCCAUCAAAUAAAUUAUUCAUAUUU
ensembl:lncRNA